rnacentral:rRNA from 1 species
UACGAAGGGUGCAAACGUUGCUCGGAAUUACUGGGCGUAAAGCGAGCGUAGUCGGUUAUUUAAGUCGGAUGUGAAAUCCCCGGGCUCAACCUGGGAAUUGCAUUCGAUACUGGAUAGCUAGAGUUCGGCAGAGGGAAGCGGAAUUUCGGGUGUAGCGGUGAAAUGCGUAGAUAUCCGAAGGAACAUCAGUGGCGAAAGCGGCUUCCUGGACCAGAACUGACGAUCAGGCUCGAAAGCGUGGGGAGCAAACAGG